AGAGUUUGAUCCUGGCUCAGGACGAACGCUGGCUGCGUGCUUAACACAUGCAAGUCGAACGCUGAAGCCGACAGCUUGCUGUUGGUGGAUGAGUGGCGAACGGGUGAGUAACACGUGAGUAACCUGCCCCUGAUUUCGGGAUAAGCCUGGGAAACUGGGUCUAAUACCGGAUAUGACCAAUCCUUGCAUGAGGGUUGGUGGAAAGUUUUUCGAUCGGGGAUGGGCUCGCGGCCUAUCAGCUUGUUGGUGGGGUAAUGGCCUACCAAGGCGACGACGGGUAGCCGGCCUGAGAGGGCGACCGGCCACACUGGGACUGAGACACGGCCCAGACUCCUACGGGAGGCAGCAGUGGGGAAUAUUGCACAAUGGGGGAAACCCUGAUGCAGCGACGCAGCGUGCGGGAUGACGGCCUUCGGGUUGUAAACCGCUUUCAGCAGGGAAGAAGCGAAAGUGACGGUACCUGCAGAAGAAGUACCGGCUAACUACGUGCCAGCAGCCGCGGUAAUACGUAGGGUACGAGCGUUGUCCGGAAUUAUUGGGCGUAAAGAGCUCGUAGGUGGUUGGUCACGUCUGCUGUGGAAACGCAACGCUUAACGUUGCGCGUGCAGUGGGUACGGGCUGACUAGAGUGCAGUAGGGGAGUCUGGAAUUCCUGGUGUAGCGGUGAAAUGCGCAGAUAUCAGGAGGAACACCGGUGGCGAAGGCGGGACUCUGGGCUGUAACUGACACUGAGGAGCGAAAGCAUGGGGGGCGAACAGGAUUAGAUACCCUGGUAGUCCAUGCCGUAAACGUUGGGCACUAGGUGUGGGGGACAUUCCACGUUCUCCGCGCCGUAGCUAACGCAUUAAGUGCCCCGCCUGGGGAGUACGGUCGCAAGGCUAAACUCAAAGGAAUUGACGG
rnacentral:rRNA from 1 species